rnacentral:lncRNA from 1 species
CUCAAAAUAGACAAUACAACAUUAUGUAAGUAACAUACAUUUUCAACACAACAUUAUGAUCCAACAUUUAGAAUUUCAGAUAUGGGACUCACAGAUGCAACAAAAACUGUUCCAUCCUUGUUGUCAUAGAUCACAAAUCCAAAACUCCCUUCAAGUUCUUUGAGGACCUGAUCUCCUGGGCAAGGACCCCUCUCGCGAAGGGUACGAUAAGCUUCAAUGAUAAACAUGGCCUCAUUGGUUCCCUUUGACAGCCCAUACUGCUUGUUCAGCUGGCUAAGGUUGUGCAGGCUACCCAAGAAAACACAGUAUAUGUUGUCCAAACCACUAAACAGCCUGUGACAAAAAAAAAAUUGUAUUAGCAAUACAAAUAGACCAAGUAUCGACGCAACGGUAAGGUUUGUACUAUGUGCCACUUACAAAAAUAUAAGCUAAGAUGACCUACAUUAGAUCUACAAAGUGGAUCUGAACCUCACAUAGGUUUGCCCUUUUUUUCAUUAGGGAUACAAAUUAAUGGACAUAUUCAUAAAUCCAUUUCUGAAAUAAGAGAUCCAUUAAUAGUAUGUUUGGAUCAACUUCUAUUUCUUCAUAAUCAAUUUUGUGAUCAGAAGCUACUCACAUAAGUUUUUUCCUAAUAUGAUUCAUUGAUUCUAACUUUAAAAUGAAGAAUUUCCAAACAUGCUAUAACUAAUCAUAUCAUCUAACACAACCAAUUUAAUCUAGCCUUAAAAUUUUGGAAAGGUAAUGAACUGAUAAUUGAUGAUUGAUCCCUCAAUUAUUAGGUGAAAUUAAAUUUCAGUGCCAAGCAAACAUGUCUUAAAGGCAAAAUGACAAAAUGGGAUUUCUUUAUUACCUCUGAUGAAUGGAGGGUUUCUUUGAAGGGGAAUAGGCUAGCACAGCAUCAUUUCCAAAGCUCAUGAAGAAAGGAUUGGAGGAGGAACUGGUGCAGGAGGACAUGAAAUUGUUGAGGAUUUCAUGACUUUGCUUAGGCUUUGUUUGAGAAAUCAAAGAAGCUGGACUGUUCAGCUCCUUGGGUGCAUUGAUCAACUUUUCCUUGAAAAUUCCCAACAUCUUUGCUAUGAAACUCUUGUGUUUACAAAUGGAGAAUGAGAAUGAGAUAUGAGUGAUAGAAAGGCUUAGAAUGAUAACGGAUAGUAAUGAAAUGAAAGAGUGAUUCAGGGAGAUAUAUAUAGACACAAAUACAAUAUGGAUCACAAUACUAGCUCUCAGUUUGACUGGAAGGUGAGAUACCGUGUUUCUACGUGGCAAUUCUAUCAAAACUGGAUAAGGAUGAAAUAGUACAAGUAAUAUAUUUCUCAUUAAUUAAUUUCAUAUAUGAUAUGAUAUACAAGUCAGAACUGAUUUUUUAUUGUAUACUUUUCAAUUCAAUUCAUCAACAACAUUAAUAUUCCACAAAUCACGUUACAGGACUGUGAUGACUCGACACCGCGUAUUUUUAAAUUUUUUUAUGUUAUGAGUUAUGACAGAUCAAAAAUCACCAUAAAAUAAGUGUCUAAAUGGAUCACAAUACUAGCUCUCAGUGAAGUAUAUAUGCGAAGAACAGAUAAAGGUUUUAACCCUCUAAAUUAUGACACUUCUUCCAACUUGUGUUGUAAAACAAAUAAAACAUGAUGAUUUCCACGAGUGAAAUCCUAUUUUUCCAAAUCUAACAUUAAAUUAUAACUAACAGGUAAUUGAUUCAAGUGAUACAUGUUUGUUCUCGUUUAUUCAAUUCUUGUGCAUGGAAAAAAUGUCCACCCGGAAUAGCUAGAACAAGGUUGAUAACAUGUAAUUGGUAUGCAAACAUUUUUGAUGCAUCAUAUUCAAGGAUCCAUUUGCCACAAAAACUAUGUCGAAUGUUGAGGAGCCACAUGACCAAACUCUUCAUCCAUUUUGAUCGUGCAAAAUAUAUGCAAAUCAAUCAUGUGUGCUGAAUUUUCUCAUGCCCUGCUUCACUUUGUGAAGAAAGAACUAAUAAUAACAUAUAGUGGAAGCAAAUACACACUUAAAGAUCCAUAAGUGAAAACUCAAAUUUCUGUUAUUCAUAGUGGAAAUUACCAUAGUCGCUACAUAGAUAUGUACACAACAAUGGAGCCAAACGAGAAAAGCUAGAUAUUCCAAAAGGCCUAAAAGCAAACAUUAGAAGUCAACCACUCUAAUCAUAUUAAGUUGCCCUUGCCAAAACGAAUAAAACCCAAAAUAGAAAAGAAAAUAACUUAGAUUAUGAUCAAAUUAAUCAAGCUUCAGAGCCCCAAAUAGCCCAAUUAGCUUCACUUCCAACACGAGGCAUCAUCUGGUUCUUUGAUUGAGAAUCAACAUUGAAGUUGGCUCCACACAUAAUCCCCUCACUGUCAAUCCUAGGCAUUGCUUUCAUCUUCUUAGUUGGAUGCUGAAAGCUCAGAAGACCAUGCUCACUAUGAAACAAACACCCUGCAAAUUCAACACAAGCCAUGCAUUAAGUUCUUUAUGGUUCCUUUCUAUGAGUCCCUUUUAAUUUUGCCAUUACCUUAUAGUUGUACUAUUUUGAUAAAAAAUUGAAAUCUAAAUAAUCUCUACAAGAGCUAAGCACAAAAGCCAUGGAUUUGGAGACUAUCUAAAUUCACACAUUCAAGUAAUCUGAGUCGUUCGAUUAAAGACUGACGACUCAGAUGUUGAUGGCCUGAAUUUAAGAUUUCUCAAACUCCCUGAAAUCUAAAUCCAAUUUUUGCAAUGGAAAGAGAAACCAAAUUGAAUACAUACCAGUUGGGAAUGGUGCAAAUGAUUUAGCACAGCUUGAUUUUACAAGCUCCAGGUUUUCAGAAAUGACAAUUGAACCAUCAGCUGCAAUACCCCAGAAGAGCCCAACCUGGCCAUCAGAACCCUGCUCAAAAUAGACAAUACAACAUUAUGUAAGUAACAUACAUUUUCAACACAACAUUAUGAUCCAACAUUUAGAAUUUCAGAUAUGGGACUCACAGAUGCAACAAAAACUGUUCCAUCCUUGUUGUCAUAGAUCACAAAUCCAAAACUUCCUUCAAGUUCUUUGAGGACCUGAUCUGCUGGGUAAGGACCCCUGUCGCGAAGGGUACGAUAAGCUUCAAUGAUAAACAUGGCCUCAUUGGUUCCCUUUGACAGCCCAUACUGCUUGUUCAGCUGGCUAAGGUUGUGCAGGCUACCCAAGAAAACACAGUAUAUGUUGUCCAAACCACUAAACAGCCUGUGACAAAAAAAAAAUUGUAUUAGCAAUACAAAUAGACCAAGUAUCGACGCAACGGUAAGGUUUGUACUAUGUGCCACUUACAAAAAUAUAAGCUAAGAUGACCUACAUUAGAUCUACAAAGUGGAUCUGAACCUCACAUAGGUUUGCCCUUUUUUUCAUUAGGGAUACAAAUUAAUGGACAUAUUCAUAAAUCCAUUUCUGAAAUAAGAGAUCCAUUAAUAGUAUGUUUGGAUCAACUUCUAUUUCUUCAUAAUCAAUUUUGUGAUCAGAAGCUACUCACAUAAGUUUUUUCCUAAUAUGAUUCAUUGAUUCUAACUUUAAAAUGAAGAAUUUCCAAACAUGCUAUAACUAAUCAUAUCAUCUAACACAACCAAUUUAAUCUAGCCUUAAAAUUUUGGAAAGGUAAUGAACUGAUAAUUGAUGAUUGAUCCCUCAAUUAUUAGGUGAAAUUAAAUUUCAGUGCCAAGCAAACAUGUCUUAAAGGCAAAAUGACAAAAUGGGAUUUCUUUAUUACCU